rnacentral:rRNA from 1 species
AGUGAACGCUGGCGGUAGGCCUAACACAUGCCAGUCGAACGGCAGCACAGUAAGAGCUUGCUCUUACGAGUGGCGAGUGGCGGACGGGUGAGGAAUACAUCGGAAUCUACUUUUUCGUGGGGGAUAACGUAGGGAAACUUACGCUAAUACCGCAUACGACCUACGGGUGAAAGCAGGGGAUCUUCGGACCUUGCGCGAUUGAAUGAGCCGAUGUCGGAUUAGCUAGUUGGCGGGGUAAAGGCCCACCAAGGCGACGAUCCGUAGCUGGUCUGAGAGGAUGAACAGCCACAAUGGAACUGAGGAACGGUCCAGACUCCUACGGGAGGCAGCAGUGGGGAAUAUUGGACAAUGGGGGGAAGCCUGAUCCAGCCAUACCGCGUGGGUGAAGAAGGCCCUCGGGUUGGAAAGCCCUUUUGUUGGGAAAGAAAAGCAGCAGGUUAAUACCCCGCUGUUCUGACGGUACCCAAAGAAUAAGCACCGGCUAACUUCGUG